UGCCUUGUGAAGAAGGUAGCUGCUUCUGCUUUGCCUUCCGCCAUGACUGUAAGUUUCAUGAAGCCUCCCCAGGCACGCAGAACUGCUAAAACUCAGACUGUAAAGCUUGGCUCUAUAAUUAAAGGAGAACCUCACUUCAAUCACAGAUUCAGCAGAGGCUCAAUUGGGCAGGCCCACCAGCUGCGGAUUUGCUAACCCAGAGAGCGACUUCGAUUGUGGUGCACAGAAUUUCUCCCAGUCAUUCCCAUCUUAUUAAUGCUUUGGUGUAGCAUAAAGCUUCAUUCAUUAUUCAUAAUAAUCCAGUCAGAGGGCACUUGGAGACCUGAUAAAUUCUCACCUAAGUGACAACGGCUGACAGGGCCUAGGGUUUUAUAGCCCUUCUCCUGCCAUAGCAAGGAGCUGUGAGCAAAGGUCCAGAAUGAUCCUCCACUAAUGACCAGUGUGAUAUACGAGCAGCUGCUGAUUUCCUGACACCAAGGCUCCUCAGCUGAGGCUCCCACCUGCAAGCUGUGAGCUGGAGAUGAAUAUCUGUCAGACUAUAAAAUGCAGGAGCAGACCACAACGUGGUAUAUUCUUGGGCACGAAGAGGUUAACUCCGAGAGCAGGAACAUAAGCAUUAAGCCUGAGAAGAAAAGAAGAAAAACCACCAGCUCAAAUCCCACAACAGAAUAGGUGUAAAUUUGGGAUUGUGUCAAUGGGCUCAACUGAUGGAGGGCUUCAAUUCUGCAAACUCUACUUUGUGACACCCAGGGGGCUGAAUAAUCAUGAUUUUUUUUAAAGGAUCUGGUAAAUUGGUUUCUAAAAAUCAAUAAUCACAAUAAUCAGAUUUUGAAGGACAUUAAUUGUAAUCUUCACAAAGGUUAAAAACUUUGGAAUAUGUUGUUAGUUUUUGGAGCCAUCUUUGCUAUCAUAGGAUGUGAGGGAAAAGCUAUUUUUUUGUUGUUGUUCAAACCAGUCCUACUUUUUGAAAAGUGCAGGCAACUUCCUCUCAAUGCUGCAAACUCCAAUGAGGUGUAGAUGCAGUUAUUAGCAUUUUCCCUUGGCUUUUUAAGUGUGCUGAACACUGUGAAGAUGUUCUUAAUUUAUAGCUUUUUCUUUUAAUUUUCACAUGUGUGCUU
rnacentral:lncRNA from 1 species